GUCAAACACAUGAAUAUGCAUACUAUGAAUUCGAAAUGCAAUAACCGUGCUCACGUGUAGGAUCGCAGCCGUGUUCGAUCCCUUGAGUGGCAGAGAAACAGAGGAAGGCUUGAAAACAUCGGCAUAAUCCGCAAGGAUGAGUUCUACUCACAGCAGCUGAAACAAGAAAUUGAGUUGGUCUUCCAACAUCCACAGGAACUAAAGAUACAACCAUGGCUUCCCAUCCCAACUCCGGCACCUGAAUGAGUUUAUCAUCAAUCAG